ACUGACACAGUGAGUAAGUGGCACAGCCACUGAAGGGAACCCAGAACUCUGACUCACAAGCUACUCUUUCCUGACACCACCCUGCUGAAAGGUGUAGGAGGAACAGGAUGGGUCAUGGACAGCACAUGAGGGCCAAAUGGGCUGGAGUGUUCAGUUUAGGUUUGUGAGAGAAGAAAUGACUGAAAUGCACCUUGACAGUGAAGAUGGUCACCAUGCUUGCAUCCUGACAGUAGUGAUUGGGAACCAUCUCUGAAAUUGAGGAUGGAGACAGAGCCGCCUUUUGUUACCUGUUGUGACUAGCAGUGGUCCAGUGGUCAUAGGCACACUGCCUAUGAGGAAACUGAGGCUCAAGAAAUUUGAGUCAAGUUCCCAAGAGAAACAUCUUACAAGCAGAGAUGGGAUUUAAAGAGAGGUUGCUUCUAACUACUGGGCUCUACUACCAGCCAAUGAGACUUGAACAGUUAUCACUGAAACUGACCCUCAUUUUCUAAGGGUCAGGGAUGGACUGAGAAAAAUGGUACUUGGAAUGUAGACACCAGGAUGCACUGAGGCCCCUACCUUGCACAAGAGAAUUGUGGGCACUCUCGUGUCCCUCAGUAAUGGGCACUUGACUUGUCUGAAUGGCUUACAUGCAGCCCAAAUGGCAGGCGCUGGGACUGCCGGCACAACUGCUGUCGGGAGAAGGUCUGUCCCUGUGCCACCCUGGCAACAAUGGACCAGCCUAUCUAGAAUCUUCUCUGCUGGCCAAGGCACUCUGCAACAGUAAGUAAAAUAUUCACAAUCAGAUCUGAACUUUUCCAGCAGGACAUUCCUUGUGACCAAAUCCUAUGUGACCUGGGCAGUGUGCUCUUUCAUGGGCUGCUUCCAGUCACACAAGUAACAAAAGGCAGCUCUGGCUCCAUCCUCAAUUUCUGCAAGGAUCCAAUUAUACAGAGAUUGGGCCAGGUGAUCCCUGAGCCUCUGCCUUCCAUUGCUCUGAGGCAUUUACAAAAUGCAGUGAAGGCAACUGAAAAAUAGACAUGUGGUGAGAAGGAGAAGGAGAGGAAGAAAGAGACAGAGAGAGAAAGACAGAGACAGAGACUGACUUUGGAAAUUAUCAGCCUGUCAACUUACCAUAUGGAGAAAUACUGCUGCCAUUGAUCAAAAUAUCAAGUUGUCAGCACUGAAACAGAAUGCUAAGGAAGUACUAAGUUGUAUGUACAUACAGUUGUAUGACAAACUGAGCCUCGUGGACUAACAGAACUUCCUUCUGAGGCAGUGGCAAUUAACAGUGGUAACCAUAAGGUCAAGACAGGACCCUUCAAAGACUUUAGGAAGACCUGGUUGAGCAUCUGGUCCUAGGUCUUGGACACUUGGGCAAAGGUUAGACUCCUUGGAAGAGAGCUUGGGAAAGUUGCCCAGCCUCUCAGGAUAUCCCAGAGUUAAGGACAUCACAAUCAUCCAGAACAGGGCUUCUUGCUUAUCAUUGUUGACUGUGGUCCCGACUCUAGGCACAAAUUCAUUGGCAGCACACAGUGAGUAGUUGAUUGAAUAAUAAGUUCUCUGUAAACAACGCUUUGUUGAUUGAGUCAUUAAUACUUGAAAAUAGUGUUUAAUUAUAUUUCACCUUACUAUACUAAAGCUAAAAUACCAUCUGCACAUUUCUGAUUUAUGGGGAAAUAGCUAUUAUUCUAAAGGAAUGUAUAUGAUACUAUAACCUUCAAAACCAUUGAUAUUUUAAUAUUAAAAGCAAUGUGGGGGAUGGGGAUUUAGCACAGUAGUGCCAUGCCUGCCUUGCAAGAGCAAGAUCCUGAGUUCGAUCCCUGGUACCCCCCCAAAAAAGCAAUGUAGGUUCAUUGCUUAAACUACAGAAUAUAAAUUAGAAAGAAUUGCCUCUAAUCUCAUAAUUCCUCUACUUAGGUACAAUGAGUUAACAUUUUAGUGUAGUUUCUUCCAAUUUUUUCAUAGAUAUAUACAUAUAUAUGCACAGAUUCAUAUAUAUUUAAAAUUAAAAUUACAUGGAAUAUAUGGCUGUCUUCCUUUUUCACAGAAUGUUACAGAUGGAACAUUUUCAUUGAUCAACAACUAACUCUGAAAAUAUGAUUUUUACAUAUCUACAUAGCGUUCUAUCAUAUGGAUGGACUAUGAUUUACUUAGCUGUUUCCUUAUGUUUGUAUGUUGGGUUUAUUUCCAACUUUUCCUGUAUUAUAAAGAAUGCUUCAUAGAAUAUGCUCAUUCAUAAAUCAUUCUGAACACUUUCGAUCAUUUUUCUUAGGACAUAUCUAGAAGCAGAUUACUAGACAAGGAAAUAUAAACAUUGUUAUGGUUCUUGUUACAUACUUCUUAAGAUGUUUAUAAAACAUUUAAGGAUUAAAGUCUAAAAGAAGUUACAGAAAUAACAGGUUUGGUUUGGUUUUAGCACUGUUGCCUCCUGUCAUUCAGGCAAGACUGGUCAACAUGUUGGCUACCUUCAGGGUUAUAAUCUUGCUCAUGUUUGUUACCUGCAUUUCAGGAGCCCUCACCCAGAGAAGGCUCUGUCAUGGACAGCCUCCAGUGCUUCGCCUACCCCUAAGGCCUAAGGUCCAUGUUUCUAGGAUGCCAUGACUGCACUUUGCAAAACCAGGACUUGCUCUGGGGGAUUUGUUUCGAGGCUGGAAUACACACUACAAUCAAAGGCCUAGUGUGUAAGACCAGCAAGGAAAAAUAGACAAGAAAGAUUGAGGCCACUGAAUUAAAAAUCCUAAAUUGUUUCCUGCCCUUUGUCUUUUUAUAUAGCUCUUUCUAGCAUCCUAGUAGAUUUCAGAAGUAUCAAGAGUCAUGCUAGCCCCAGAAAAGGCUGUUGAUUAAAAAAUAUAUAAUGAUCAUUUUGAAUAUGGUGUUCAAUUAUAUGCAAUGAUGACUUUACAUUAGGCUUACUUCAACUGUUUCUUUUAUGAAGUAAAAAGCUAAGCUUGUUGUUUAUCUUUAAAAAGUAGCUGUAAUUCUUAACUGUAUCACAGCAGUUUUUGCCUCUUUUCUUCUGAAAACUUACUUUGCAAUGAGCACAGAAUAUAUUCAUAUUAAUCAUAAAUAUCCCCCUCCCCUCCUUUCCAGGUAAAUAGAAUUUUAAUUAUUAGGGUAGAUGGAUUAUCUUAAGUACUUCUCAUUAUACUUUUUUAUGUCCUAUUUCCCUAACUUGCUUUACUGUUUUCUUUGUAUUUUAUAUUAUGCCAAAUAUAUUCUGAAAAAUUUAUGCAAAAUAAUUACCAGUAGAGACACCAAAUAUAUUCCCAUGUUUCAAGAACUUCGAUAUAAACAAGUCUCUGCUGACAGAAUCAUAGGGUCAGAGAAAAGAAAAAAAUGGAUUUAGCUGGCUGGGACCUUGGGAUAGAAAACCCAAUUCCUUUGUUUGGAUCAAAAAAAAAAAAAAAAAGACAGCAGCUCAAAGACGUGAAAUGGCUUUUUGGAGUCUUGUUUUUGUUAUUGAUCCAAGAAUACAGAAUAGAAAAAAUAAUAGACAUAACAUCUUAAUUCUUUACAGCCCUUUACAGUUUAUGAAACACUUUCAUGUCCCGUGUUAAAAGGUACUGCAAUUCUGAGCUUCAGCAAACAAAACUCUCACGUGCUCUCUCCAUGAGACCCACGUGGCUGAUUUCACAUUUGUUGCCAAUGGAGUCUCCAAAGACAUUUAAGGGGAACUCUCAUAGGAAACAAAAGGCUACCACAUCAUGUGGGUCAGUUCAAAAUGGAGAGUAACAUAUCUUGCCCUAAAAGUAGGAAACUAGAGCUACGUCUAACUAGUAUCAGAGGGAUUUUUUUCUGAUUUUUAAACAACUUGUCACUGGUCACAUCUGCUACUUGGGGCUCCAAGGAUCAAAUUAAAUCUCAAAGAAACUCAAGGCUGUGUCUUUCAAUGUCCCCGUGUGGAUUUCUCCACUGAAAAGCACUGGAGUAGGUGUCUUUGCCAGCUGUGUCUUCAUGGAAGAUGACGGCAAAUGCCUGUGUGACAUCAUACAAUAAACUACAAUACUCAUCUGAAAGCUUUCACAGUCAUUCAUUCAGAUUUCCCAAAUUUACAGAGCACAGAGGAGGGAGGCAGAGGAAAACAAGGUGUGGCCACUGUCUCCAACUCAGUGGGCAGGUGCUCAUCCCAGCCACAUCUGUGGGAGUGUCCUGAAUCCUUGGAGAGCUGGCCUUUUUUUUUUUUUUUCUGGCACCAGGAAUUGAACUCAGGGCCUCAUGCUUGCCUGGCAGGCACUGUGCUGCUGAGCUACAUCCUCAGCCCUAACUUCUAUAGAUGAUGUCAGUCUGUUAUGACUGUUGGGGUCGGCUCUUUUGUGACCUCCUCCUCUGGGUACUGGGUUAUAGAGUCAUGCAUUUACUCCUCAGUAGGGUGUAUUUGUUUCCUGUGCUUGCCACAACAAAUUACCACAAACUGGGUGGUUUUAAAGCAACAGAAAUUUCUUCUCAGUUCUUGAGGCCAGAAGUCUGAACAAGGCAUUAGCAAGGCUGUAUUUAUUCCGAAGGCCCCGGGGGGAAAAUCCAACCUUCACCUUUCUUUUCACUCCUACUGUUGCUGGCCAUCCCUGACAGUUUUGGGCUUGUAGAUGCAUCCCUCCAAUCCAUCUCCAUUGUCACAUGGUGCCCUCCUUGUGUCUCUCUCUCUCAAGGAUACCAGCCCCAUUGAUUGGGCCCACCCUAGCUCAGUGCUGUCUCAUCUUUGCUUGAUUACAUCUAUAAGACCCUAUUUCCAAAUAAAGUCACAUUUGCAGCUACCAUGGGUGAGAUCUUACACUGACCUUUAUGGGCGGCACAGAGAUUUGAUCCAUCCAGGGCCCUUUCUCAGGACAGACAACAAAGUCUCCCUUGGAGUGGCAGGCUUCAGACCCACAUGGCUGUGUUCGAGGGGAAAGUGGAAAGAGCAAGCCACAGAGGGUUAAAAUAAUGUGGCAUGAGUUUCCAGGUGUAAGAAGACAGAAGAGCCUAAAGUGGACCUUCAAGGAAGUGACAUUUCCUGUGUCCCUCUCUUUCAUCUUUAUGUGUCUAUCUUUCAUGCUAAUGUCUCUCUCUCCUUGUUCCAGUGAAGCGGCAAAGAGAGUAAAAGUGCUGAGCUUCUGCCAUAAAUCCAGUGCUGCACAGCGCCCCAUCCAUUUGGACCACUCACUGUCCAUCCUCUGUGGCAGCGGUCAUAGCCACUGUGCUGAUAGACUCUGUUUGCUACUCUUGAUUGAGUCUGAGUGACCUCCUGAUAAAGCUUUCCUUUAGGCCGCAAAGUGCGCAUCUCCUUUCCAUUUCAAUCAUCUGCAUCAUAAGUGUUUUCCACUUAAUGAGCACACACAGCCAUGAACAAUCCAGUGUGACUUGUAGCACUGUUAUCACGAGCAUCAGUUGGAAGGAUGGCCAAAAAAUCUCACCUGGAAAAGCACAGGACAGUGAGCAUCUGUGCUCCAUGCACCCAACUGCACCGAGACCCUUCUGCACUAAUGAGCAGGGCAGGCAGCUUGCUCCAGCACAGCUCAGUCACCCUGCAUUCCCCAGGCAAGGUGCUGCUCCCAUCAGGAGCUAAAGUCUUCCUGGAAAAGGAGAGCUGCUUUUCUCUCCCUGUUGGCCACCGCCCACUGGAGAGGUAGAAAUUGUUAAAGAUAUGUUUAUCAUAGUCCCUGCCCCAGUAACAAAUCACCUAAUGUGAAAUGCAGGGACAAAACAAGUAUGUAAAGAACUUUCAGGAAACUAAACAAGUAUGAUAAAAAUCUUUGGAUUAUAUACAGGCAAAAGGAAACUGCAUUUUCUGACAAAUGAAUACAAGUUGUAAGUGAGCCUUUGGGGGAGGAAUAACCAUCUUUCCUCCAAAUUUCCAGAAACUUGGUGAAGAAAUUUUUUUAAUCCUUACACCCUAAUUAGUUUAGUAACAAAUGAUGAGCAUAGUCAAGACUGUUGAAAGUAAGAGAAACAGAACUCAAAUAAAGGGCAAUAUAUUUAUUCAUUAUCUAAAAAUAUUCAGAACAGUUCCAGAUAUUCAAACAAUGUCUUCAGACUUAUUCUACAGGCUUCUGUUUUGCCUUCCUCUCCCAAUUUCAUUCUCAAGAAGGUAAUCCUUUUUUUAUUUUUUUUAUUUUUUUUGACAAGAUGUCCAACAGAAGUUCUGGGCUAAUUUUCUGGAGCCAAGAAGAGAAUUUCUCUUUUCCAGUACAUAUAGCCUAGUAGACGCCAACCGUAGGCUCACAGCCUCGCCUCUGACAGUCUCCUCAGUAACAUCUGCUCACUCCUGAAGCAUCAGCCUACUGAACCCUCUUGUUGGCCACUUAUGAACCUUGUGAUCUGUCCUGGGCUGCUGUAAGAGUCAACUCCACCAGAACCCAGGGACUGCGGGGCAGGGGGGGGGGGGCCUCCCUAAAGAGAACUAGGGUCCUGCUCUCAUGGGAAGAAAUGAGUGUUGGGCAGACAAAAGCAACAAAUACCAUGACAUGGAACAAAAAUAAAUGUACAUUGCUACAGGA